ACCUGCAGUCGACGGCAGCACAGAGGAGCUUGCUCCUUGGGUGGCGAGUGGCGGACGGGUGAGGAAUGCAUCGGAAUCUGCCUAUUUGUGGGGGAUAACGUAGGGAAACUUACGCUAAUACCGCAUACGUCCUACGGGAGAAAGUGGGGGACCUUCGGGCCUCACGCAGAUAGAUGAGCCGAUGCCGGAUUAGCUAGUUGGCGGGGUAAAGGCCCACCAAGGCGACGAUCCGUAGCUGGUCUGAGAGGAUGAUCAGCCACACUGGAACUGAGACACGGUCCAGACUCCUAUGGGAGGCAGCAGUGGGGAAUAUUGGACAAUGGGCGCAAGCCUGAUCCAGCCAUGCCGCGUGUGUGAAGAAGGCCUUCGGGUUGUAAAGCACUUUUGUCCGGAAAGAAAAGCGCUCGAUUAAUACUCGGGUGUUAUGACGGUACCGGAAGAAUAAGCACCGGCUAACUUCGUGCCAGCAGCCGCGGUAAUACGAAGGGUGCAAGCGUUACUCGGAAUUACUGGGCGUAAAGCGUGCGUAGGUGGUUUGUUAAGUCUGAUGUGAAAGCCCUGGGCUCAACCUGGGAACUGCAUUGGAAACUGGCUUACUAGAGUGCGGUAGAGGGGUGUGGAAUUCCCGGUGUAGCAGUGAAAUGCGUAGAUAUCGGGAGGAACAUCUGUGGCGAAGGCGACACCCUGGACCAGCACUGACACUGAGGCACGAAAGCGUGGGGAGCAAACAGGAUUAGAUACCCUGGUAGUCCACGCCCUAAACGAUGCGAACUGGAUGUUGGGGGCAACUUGGCCCUCAGUAUCGAAGCUAACGCGUUAAGUUCGCCGCCUGGGAAGUACGGUCGCAAGA
rnacentral:rRNA from 1 species